CGGAGUAUAGUAUAGUGGCAGUAUACAUCCAUGGGGUGGAUGCGGCGGCGGUUCAAUUCCGCCUGCUCCGACAA
rnacentral:tRNA from 2 species